AGCAUCAUAGUCUGAGACCCCGAAACUAGACGAGCUACUCCGAAGCAGUCUAAAAGGACUAACCCGUCUCUGUGGCAAAAGAGUGGGAAGACUUCCGAGUAGAGGUGAAAAGCCUACCGAGCCUAGUUAUAGCUGGUUGCUUAAGAAAAGAAUAUGAGUUCAGCCUUAUAAGUUUCUCAAAAAUCAAAAUGAAAGAAUAAAGUAACACAUAAGAGUUAGUCGAAGGGGGUACAGCUCCUUCGAAAAAGAACACAACCUUACCCAGGUAAAUAAGGAUUAUACUAAAAAAGGACAUGACUUUCAACAGUGGGCCCGAAAGCAGCCACCUCUAAUAGAAAGCGUUAAAGCUCAAGAACAGCCACACCAAAAAUAAAAAUAACCACUCCUAAUUUCCUAAUAAUAUUAAGCUACCCUAUUUUAUAGGAGAAAUUAUGCUAAAAUGAGUAAUAAGAGAAACUAGACCCUCUCCGGGCACACGUGUAAAUUAGAGCGGACAAACCACUGACAACUAACGGACCCAAAAAAGAGGGUAAAACAACAAAACUCAAUAAACAAGAAAAACCUAUUAAAACAACCGUUAACCCAACACAGGAGUGCCACUUAAGGAAAGACUAAAAGGGGAAGAAGGAACUCGGCAAACACAAACCUCGCCUGUUUACCAAAAACACCGCCUCCUGCAAAUAGAAUGUAUUGGAGGUCCUGCCUGCCCAGUGACAAUAGGUUCAACGGCCGCGGUAUUUUGACCGUGCAAAGGUAGCGUAAUCACCUGUCUUUUAAAUAAAGACCUGUAUGAAUGGCAAGACGAGGGUUUUACUGUCUCCUCCCCCCAGUCAAUGAAAUUGAUCUACCCGUGCAGAAGCGGGUAUAAAAACAUAAGACGAGAAGACCCUAUGGAGCUUUAGGCACACAUCAAAUAUGUAAAAAACCAAAUCUUCCAAAUAGGCCUAAAAAAUGAGAAAAACAAGUAUUAAUGAUUAAUUGCCUUCGGUUGGGGCGACCACGGGGAAAAAUAAAACCCCCACAUGGAAUGGGUAAAAUUAUCCUAAGCCAAGAAAAACAAUUCUAAGCAACAAAAUUUUUGACCAAUAAACGACCCAGGGACAACAUCCCUGAGCAAUGAACCAAGUUACCCUAGGGAUAACAGCGCAAUCCUUUCCCAGAGCCCAUAUCAACGAAAGGGUUUACGACCUCGAUGUUGGAUCAGGGCAUCCUAACGGUGCAGCCGCUGUUAAGGG
rnacentral:rRNA from 1 species